CUGGCUGUAGGCUGUGGCACUUGGCCAGAGGUGGCGCUGGUUGACUCGAGUCCAUGUUAGUGCACACAAAGUAAACUGCACGCUUUAGUUGUGAAGCAAAAACGCUGAAACCGGAGAAAUAAAACGUGCGAGGGGGACGAUAACGACGACAAGAGUCUCCCGAUCGUUUACUCUUGGUGUCCUGUGAGCAACAUCGGCGUGGUGUUAAUUGUUUGCUGUUUUCGCGAUCGCGUCGCACAUGAGGAUAUCACCAGGAGCUACCCUCAGAUUCAGACCUCAGCACCACCCAGUGACAGCAGACAGAUCAUCCAACAUGUUCACAUGUUAACUGCAAAAUGAACUGAUGAAAACAAUACAAAGGUUAAAGUACCACAUGUGCUGUAGUGAAAGCUGCAGCUGUUUUAUUGAUAAAGUUAAAGACAAAAAAACAAAAGGAUUAAUCACCCCUGUAACUGUGUCACUAUAUAUCAGCAUUAACUGCAGUUUGGUGUUUCACAAAGCUGCUGAUCUCAGACCUGCACAGCUUCAGUUUUAAACACUAGAUGUACUCAGCUGCAUGAAGAGCAUAUGAGAUUUUCUCUAACACAAUUAAAUAAAACUUGAUGAAGGUCAAAGGUCAUCACUUGUAUGUUGAACUACAAACUUGUCAUCUGGAAUUCUUUAACAGUUUUUUGCAGAUAGUGUGUUGUUUACCAUAAAGUGAUUCAGAGUUAUUCAUACCAGAGUAACCAGAGAGGAUCAUAUAUUUUUAAAUAUAUAACUUUCUACAGGACUGAAUAUAAUAUCUUUUAUGUAAAAAUCUGGAGCCUCUGGGGAGUAUCCGAGUAUUUUUAACAUUACACAAACCAAAUGUCUCCAUCACAGUGUUCAUGAAAUGCUGGGUUUAUCCAUCUCCUGGGGCGGGCCUACGGAGGAGUGCUAAAGAUUUCCCUGUGAGGGAGCUGCUGGUGAAGAUCAUGAGUCCUGCUUGAUCAAUGUGAUGAGCUUCAGUGUUCCUGUUGUUUCUUAAAUGAUGCCUCUUUCAGUGGGUCAACAGAACAUCUGGCACAGGACAGCUGCGAUGAAAGAAAGGGAAGAAGUGUCUCCAAACCUCUGGACCCAGGAAACCCAGCUUGGUCCUGAUGGUCUCCCUCACUAGUUUCUCUCCAGGGUGAAUGUAGCUGUUGAUAUAAUAUGGACUCUGUUAUUAAAUGAAAAGAACAAAUUAGACUACACUACUGAAACGUUCUGCUGAUGUUUUUAAAC
ensembl:lncRNA